GGUUCGAUGGUGUAGUUGGUUAUCACGUCUGUCUCACACGCUUGAUCACAGGAGGUCUCCGGUUCGAGCCCGGGUCGAACCA